UACGUAGGUGGCAAGCGUUAUCCGGAAUUAUUGGGCGUAAAGCGCGCGUAGGCGGUUUCUUAAGUCUGAUGUGAAAGCCCACGGCUCAACCGUGGAGGGUCAUUGGAAACUGGGAAACUUGAGUGCAGAAGAGGAGAGUGGAAUUCCAUGUGUAGCGGUGAAAUGCGCAGAGAUAUGGAGGAACACCAGUGGCGAAGGCGGCUCUCUGGUCUGUAACUGACGCUGAGGCUCGAAAGCGUGGGGAGCAAACAGG
rnacentral:rRNA from 1 species